rnacentral:misc_RNA from 1 species
GAUGAAGAACGUAGCGAAAUGCGAUAAGUAAUGUGAAUUGCAGAAUUCAGUGAAUCAUCGAAUCUUUGAACGCACAUUGCGCCCGCUAGUAUUCUUGCGGGCAUGCCUGUCCGAGCGUCAUUUCAACCCUCAAGCCCCCGGGCUUGGUGUUGGGGAUCGGCGAGCCUCCGCGCCCGCCGUCCCCUAAAUCUAGUGGCGGUCUCGCUGUAGCUUCCUCUGCGUAGUAGCACACCUCGCACUGGGAAACAGCGCGGCCACGCCGUUAAACCCCCAACUUCUGAACGUUUGACCUCGGAUCAGGUAGGAAUACCCGCUGAACUUAAGCAUAUCAAUAAGCGGAGGA